ACAGAUAGAAGAUACUGUACGGACAUAUACUGUUUACAAUAUUGUUAUGACGCACAUGAAAACUCCAUCAAGGGUAGUGACAAUACUACUUUGUGAGAACUUCCAUGCACUGAAGCAGAUCUCACACUAUCAGAGUUGAUGUCAAUUGAGGAACUGGCAAAUGGCGACCUGGGAGAGUGCCUCCUGAUACAACCUCCACCUGCCACACCUCCCAAAAGUCGCCACCUGCAGAAGUGGCGUUGGGAGCCUGUACGAGUGUUUCGUACCAGAGCCAAGCAGCAGUAGUAGCAGUUGUGAGUAAGUGAGCAGACAGACAGACUUACCCUAAGGACAGAGAAUUGUCCUACAUCAGCAGAGCCAUUGUUCAACGUCAUGCCCCAGGUCUGCCGCACAG